GCCGCCUCUGCAUUCAUGUCUUUCUCUUCUCAUUUCUUCAAUUCUCCAUCUUAUAUUGAUUAGUUCUGAUCUUGGACAAGCUUAUAGCAAAUUCCAUAAAUUUCUCAGUUUUUGUUGAAUUUUAAUUUAUCUAUGGUUUGUGCUCUUCAUAUUAAUUAGGGGUUUUCUCGGUGAGAAGAUUGAGAUGAUGAUGAUGAUGAUGAUGAUGAUGACAUGGAUUGGUGAGGUGAAACAAUUGCACCGGAAACGGCAAGAGGUUUGCAGCUUCGAUCAUUUCCUGUAUGUUACUCCAUGUAUUUAAUCAUCUAUUUGCAGGGCACUGAAUUGCUAUUAAUGAAUUUGUAUUUACAAAUAAUUUAUAUACAAUAAUACACCUCAUGUGUAGAUCAUGAGAUUGAUCUCAGUUUGGUAUUUUGUUUCAACAGUUUCUACGUUAUUUUUGCAUGUGAUGUCCAUAUCGUGUAUAUUUAGAAUGAUCGCCUAUCGAUUUUAUUGGAUUUGGUGCACGACU